CGAUUGGUGGGAUGACCUGGUCGAGCAGUUUCAUACUGGUGCGUUUCCAGAUCUUCUUAAUAAUGGCACGCAGCUCUUCAUUGGCCUGCUCAAAAUUACCUGACGGAUGAAAAUUCAGAGAAUUUGUGCUUUAAUAGUUCUGACCAGAGCGAACAGCGUGGCAUUGAACGUCACGGUUCCAUCACUGUUCAGAGGCAUGUUCAUGGAAAUCAAUCUCUGGAAAUAAACACGGCAACACGAUGGGGGCAAAACUUUCCGAACCCAAGCGGUGGCUGGAUUCUCCGCAGCAGCGUCACGACAUCCAGGACGUUUCCUAUCAGAUGUCAAAGAGACGUCUAUUAGAUGUGGAGCAUCAGACCUGGAAUGAUUUGAUGAAGGUCCACAGCAGGUUGCGAAUGCCCUCAAAACGGUUGAGCAGUUUCACCAGACGCAUGACACGGAAAAGCCGGAAGAGUGUGAUUGACACGCUCAUAUUCUCAGAGUCCUGAGGAACCAAUAAAAACACUUGAGAAUCUGUGGAUAACACCAGCAUAGAUCUUCUUGAACAGCCAGUGAGACAAUACAGUCCACCCUGAGCAGCAAGAGCCGCCUGGAGAUAAAGAAAUUACCAGAGAAAAUGAGUGAAAGCCCAUAUCAGCACUCACUGAGAAUGAUACAACAGUUAAAGUCAGGU